UGAGGGAUAUUGGGCAAUGGGCGCAAGCCUGACCCAGCGACGCCGCGUGGAGGAGAAGGGCUUCGGCUCGUAAACUCCUUUUCCCAGGGACGAGAACAGGACGGUACCUGGGGAAUAAGUCUCGGCUAACUACGUGCCAGCAGCCGCGGUAAUACGUAGGAGGCAAGCGUUAUCCGGAAUUACUGGGCGUAAAGGGCGUCUAGGUGGACGCCCAAGCGGGGUGUGAAAGCUCCUGGCUUAACUGGGAGAGUGCGCUCCGAACUGGGCGACUAGAGGGCAGGCGACGGAGGUGGAAUACCCGGUGGAGUGGUGAAAUGCGUAGAGAUCGGGUGGAACACCAGUGGCGAAGGCGGCCUUCGAGCCUGUGCCUGACACUGAAGCGCGAGAGCGUGGGGAGCAAACGGG
rnacentral:rRNA from 1 species